UGAAGUAUGACCACAAGACCUUAGUAUUACUUUCUGAUACUGCAUUUUUGCCUCAGGUCAUGAGUAGAGAGUAUUAAAUGUGUCUCUUUGCUGUGGAAGGGUCUGCUCUCCGGUGGAUCUCAGCGGUACUCCUCCUAAAACUGAGUACAGUUGUACAUCCUGAGUGAGUAAAAAUAUGUACAAAAAAAAAUAUGUUAACAUUUCAGUGUUACGGAUUCCCCUGCGUUGGGGAAUGGAGAGAAAUGAAGAGGAACACCAGGCACCAUCGGUGGGACCAGCCCCCAGAUUCACUCAACUAAUUUCAGCAGAGGCUCCUCCAAGCCGUCGAGAGGGAUGCAGCCAAUCCUGAUGCUCACAGGAAGGAGGAUGAAGAGACCCUCUUUGCCAAGAGCCUGAAGAGGUUGCCUCAGCAAAGAAGCAGUCAAGGUUAAAAUUCAGAUGCUUUUCAAUGCCGAGUUCAAUGAGAUGGAGUGAAUUUAGCUGACCAGCUCACAGGAAGGACAGGAAGAGGAGAGUUGUCUGGUUGUUAUUUUGACCUUCUCCAAUGGGUUUUGAGCGGGAGCAUACUGCCAUGGGAUGAGAAGUAGGUGCUCAGCUUCUCCCUCACCUGGAGUGCCUGUCUGGGGGACUGGUUGGCACCUGCCCUGGUGACAUCAGGGACCCUCUGCACACAUUGACAACAGCCACCCUCGAAGCAUCGUUACCCAUCUCUUCACAAAUCCCAUGGCCCUUGCAGAGCAAGGGAAAAAACUACUUCAAGGUCUCAGAGCGAGUGAAUCCCAAAGGCGCAUUCAAAAACUAACCUUGUCCAGAAUAAGGAUUUAAAACCAACUUUGGGAAAAGUUAUAGUACAAAUAAACAUUCUGUAAAAGUACA